rnacentral:rRNA from 1 species
GAUUUACUUCGGUAAAGAGCGGCGGACGGGUGAGUAACGCGUGGGUAACCUGCCCUGUACACACGGAUAACAUACCGAAAGGUAUGCUAAUACGAGAUAAAAUACUUUUAUCGCAUGGUAGAAGUAUCAAAGCUUUUGCGGUACAGGAUGGACCCGCGUCUGAUUAGCUAGUUGGUAAGGUAACGGCUUACCAAGGCGACGAUCAGUAGCCGACCUGAGAGGGUGAUCGGCCACAUUGGAACUGAGACACGGUCCAAACUCCUACGGGAGGCAGCAGUGGGGAAUAUUGCACAAUGGGCGAAAGCCUGAUGCAGCAACGCCGCGUGGGUGAAGAAGGUCUUCGGAUCGUAAAACCCUGUUGUUAGAGAAGAAAGUGCGUGAGAGUAACUGUUCACGUUUCGACGGUAUCUAACCAGAAAGCCACGGCUAACUACGUGCCAGCAGCCGCGGUAAUACGUAGGUGGCAAGCGUUAUCCGGAUUUAUUGGGCGUAAAGGGAACGCAGGCGGUCUUUUAAGUCUGAUGUGAAAGCCUUCGGCUUAACCGGAGUAGUGCAUUGGAAACUGGGAGACUUGAGUGCAGAAGAGGAGAGUGGAACUCCAUGUGUAGCGGUGAAAUGCGUAGAUAUAUGGAAGAACACCAGUGGCGAAAGCGGCUCUCUGGUCUGUAACUGACGCUGAGGGUCGAAAGCGUGGGUAGCAAACAAGAUUAAGAUACCCUGGUAGUCCACGCCGUAAAACGAUGAAUGCUAAGAGUUGGAGGGUUUCCGCCCUUCAGUGCUGCAGCUAACGCAAUAAAGCAUUCCGCCUGGGGAGUACGACCGCAAGGUUGAAACUCAAAGGAAUUGACGGGGGCCCGCACAAGCGGUGGAGCAUGUGGUUUAAUUAGAAGCAACGCGAAGAACCUUACCAGGUCUUGACAUCUUCUGACAAUCCUAGAGAUAGGACUUUCCCUUAGGGGACAGAAUGACAGGUGGUGCAUGGUUGUCGUCAGCUCGUGUCGUGAGAUGUUGGGUUAAGUCCCGCAACGAGCGCAACCCUUAUUGUUAGUUGCCAGCAUUAAGUUGGGCACUCUAGCAAGACUGCCGGUGACAAACCGGAGGAAGGUGGGGAUGACGUCAAAUCAUCAUGCCCCUUAUGGCCUGGGCUACACACGUACUACAAUGGCGGCUACAAAGAGCAGCGAGACAGGGAUGUCGAGCGAAUCUCAUAAAAGCCGUCCCAGUUCGGAUUGGAGGCUGCAACCCGCCUCCAUGAAGUUGGAAUCGCUAGUAAUCGCGGAUCAGCAUGCCGCGGUGAAUACGUUCCCGGGCCUUGCACACACCGCCCGUCA